AAACAUCAGGUUAUGAGACUUCCCCCCAAGAGAACAGGUGCCUAACAUCUUACACAACUAAGAGCAAAAGAGAGAAAAUCUCCAAGAGGAUAGGCUACAGGCCAUCAAAAAUCAGAGCAGGCCAGACGGAGAUGAGAGUUUCGAGAGAGAGAAAUGGAAAUCUGUGGAGUGGAGAUGAAGUCCCAGUAUGUUGCCUCGGCUGGUCGCAAACUCCUGAGCUCAAGUGAUCCUGCCACCUCGGCUUCUUAAAGUGCGGGUAGUACUUAAUUUGUCUAGAAAUGACAGUGUAAUGCCACUCUGGUCAAUGAGACCUAAGAGGAAGUCUACUGGAAGACAUCUGGGAAAGAUUUACCAUCCUGAAAAAAGACAUGAUCAUGACAUCUUGCAGAAAAGAGGAAGAGAGAAUUUCUAGGACAAAUGGCUUGUUUUUUACAUUAGAGAUGAACCAAAAGUUGCACACUUCACCUCUGCUCACAUCCCAUCCUUCUUAAUCAUAUAGCCACAACUUGCUUCAAGUGAGACUGAAAAUACAGUCCCUAAUGGGGGAAGAGGUGAUGACCAUGUGUACAGCCUAAGUUUUUUUUAAGAAAAAAAAAA
rnacentral:lncRNA from 1 species